CAGGUGGCCCUCGUAUACUGACCAAGAUAUCCAGUGGUGACAUAAAGGCAAAGGAAGGUGAUCUUGUCAACCUACUGUGUUCUGCUCAAGGUGAACCUCCAAUUACUUUCAGCUGGAAAAAAAAUCAGAAGCCACUAGAAAGUUUCACAGAAACCGCUAAAAAGCCUUACCGCAGUUCAUUACUUGUUGUAACAGUGAAAGACCAAACAAGUUUUGGGGAAUAUAUUUGUCAUAUCCGAGAUCGAUUUCAAAGCACUACUCAUACAAUUU
rnacentral:lncRNA from 1 species